rnacentral:rRNA from 1 species
CCUACGGGUGGCAGCAGUGAGGAAUAUUGGUCAAUGGCCGGGAGGCUGAACCAGCCAAGUCGCGUGAGGGAAGACGGCCCUACGGGUUGUAAACCUCUUUUGUCAGGGAGCAAGGUGCAGGUCGGGACCUGCUGUGAGAGUACCUGAAGAAAAAGGAUCGGCUAACUCCGUGCCAGCAGCCGCGGUAAUACGGAGGAUGCGAGCGUUAUCCGGAUUUAUUGGGUUAAAAGGGUGCGCAGGCGGAGGCGAAAGUCAGCGGGAAAAUCGCGGGGCUCAACCCAGCUCCGCCGUUGACACUGUGGCCCUUGAGUGCGCGAAGGGUAGGCGGAAUGCGUGGUGUAGCGGUGAAAUGCGUAGAUAUCACGCAGAACUCCGAUCGCGAAGGCAGCCUACCGGCGCGCAACUGACGCUCAUGCACGAAAGCGUGGGUAUCGAACAGGAUUAGAUACCCGGGUAGUC